rnacentral:lncRNA from 1 species
UCCUUUGAUGAGAAAACCUUGACGGCCUUUCAGAAGAGGAAGAAAUCCCUCCACUGCAGAGUCACCAGAGACUGGCUAUUACUAAUUGAUUCUACAUGGAGAACACAUAGUGGUGACAGCCAUCAGUCUGAAACAGAAGUGAUGGAAUCCAGUGGUGAGACUUUUUUGUCAGUUUUUGAUCCAGUUCUGGGGUGAUAAAGUAAGAAGAAUUUGAAAAGACCUGAGGAUGGCUGUAUGUGGGUAUUUUGAUCCAAGCUGUUCUCCUGUGUCCUCCUGAGAUGUGAUGAAGGUCUUUGGAACGGCAGUGUGAAGAGUAAGGGAUAUGCUAAGCUGCACAUCAGCUGUGUUGUAAGUGUCCAAUUUAUAUUUGUGCUUGAGGGCUCAUUCUGAUACCACUGUGCUGCAGAUAAUAUUAUGGAAGGUCUCUGUUAUCAGAGACUAGGGACAUGAUGCAUAUCAAAAUGGAAAAUUAGUAUAGUCAUUCAUAUAAUUAAAUCCACUAAUCCAAUCAUAAUGGCACAACUGCUACAUCCUGUUACUGUCUGGAAAGCAGGAUGUGUAUCCCAUGAGGCAGUCAGAGAGGGCAAUAUUUUAAAAUAAAUUCCAUCACUAGGUAUGUUAUAAUGCUUAA